CCCUUAGAUGUUCUGGGCUGCACGCGCGCUACACUGAUGCGCUCAACGAGUUUUAACCUUGCCUGGAAAGGUUGGGUAAUCUUUUUAAAACGCAUCGUGAUGGGGAUAGAUUAUUGCAAUUAUUAAUCUUCAACGAGGAAUUCCUAGUAAGCGCAAGUCAUCAGCUUGCGUUGAUUACGUCCCUGCCCUUUGUACACACCGCCCGUCGCUUGUACCGAUUGGAUGGUCCGGUGAAAUCUUCGGAUAGCUGGUAGUUGGCUUGCCAUCUACUGCUAAAAGUUGCUUAAACCUUAUCAUCUAGAGGAACAAGAAGUCGUAACA
rnacentral:rRNA from 1 species